rnacentral:rRNA from 1 species
GAUGAACGCUGGCGGCGUGCCUAAUACAUGCAAGUCGAGCGGACGGACGAGAAUCUUGCUUCUCUGAUGUUAGCGGCGGACGGGUGAGUAACACGUGGAUAACCUACCUAUAAGACUGGGAUAACUUCGGGAAACCGGAUCUAAUACCGGAUAAUAUUGUGAACCGCAUGGUUCAAAAGUGAAAGACGGUCUUGCUGUCACUUAUAGAUGGAUCCGCGCUGCAUUAGCUAGUUGGUAAGGUAACGGCUUACCAAGGCAACGAUGCAUAGCCGACCUGAGAGGGUGAUCGGCCACACUGGAACUGAGACACGGUCCAGACUCCUACGGGAGGCAGCAGUAGGGAAUAUUCCGCAAUGGGCGAAAGCCUGACGGAGCCACGCCGCGUGAGUGAUGAAGGUCUUCGGAUCGUAAAACUCUGUUAUUAGGGAAGAACAUAUGUGUAAGUAACUGUGCACAUCUUGACGGUACCUAAUCAGAAAGCAACGGCUAACUACGUG